rnacentral:rRNA from 1 species
AUUGAACGCUGGCGGCAGGCCUAACACAUGCAAGUCGAGCGGAUGAAGGGAGCUUGCUCCUGGAUUCAGCGGUGGACGGGUGAGUAAUGCCUAGGAAUCUGCCUGGUAGUGGGGGAUAACGUCCGGAAACGGGCGCUAAUACCGCAUACGUCCUGAGGGAGAAAGUGGGGGAUCUUCGGACCUCACGCUAUCAGAUGAGCCUAGGUCGGAUUAGCUAGUUGGUGGGGUAAGGGCCUACCAAGGCGACGAUCCGUAACUGGUCUGAGAGGAUGAUCAGUCACACUGGAACUGAGACACGGUCCAGACUCCUACGGGAGGCAGCAGUGGGGAAUAUUGGACAAUGGGCGAAAGCCUGAUCCAGCCAUGCCGCGUGUGUGAAGAAGGUCUUCGGAUUGUAAAGCACUUUAAGUUGGGAGGAAGGGCAGUAAGUUAAUACCUUGCUGUUUUGACGUUACCAACAGAAUAAGCACCGGCUAACUUCGUG